rnacentral:rRNA from 1 species
GACGAACGCUGGCGGCGUGCUUAACACAUGCAAGUCGAACGGUAAGGCCCUUCGGGGUACACGAGUGGCGAACGGGUGAGUAACACGUGGGUGAUCUGCCCUGCACUUCGGGAUAAGCCUGGGAAACUGGGUCUAAUACCGGAUAGGACCCUGGGAUGCAUGUCCUGGGGUGGAAAGCUUUUGCGGUGUGGGAUGGGCCCGCGGCGUAUCAGCUUGUUGGUGGGGUGAUGGCCUACCAAGGCGACGACGGGUAGCCGGCCUGAGAGGGUGACCGGCCACACUGGGACUGAGAUACGGCCCAGACUCCUACGGGAGGCAGCAGUGGGGAAUAUUGCACAAUGGGCGCAAGCCUGAUGCAGCGACGCCGCGUGAGGGAUGACGGCCUUCGGGUUGUAAACCUCUUUCAGCACCGGCGAAGCGCAAGUGACGGUAGGUGCAGAAGAAGGACCGGCCAACUACGUGCCAGCAGCCGCCGUAA